rnacentral:misc_RNA from 1 species
UACGUAGGGAGCAAGCGUUGUCCGGAUUUAUUGGGCGUAAAGGGCUAGUAGGCGGUUCGGUAAGUCGGGUGUGAAACCUCCAGGCUCAACCUGGAGACGCCACUCGAUACUGCUGUGACUUGAGUCUGGUAGGGGAGCACGGAAUACCUGGUGUAGCGGUGAAAUGCACAGAUAUCAGGUGGAACACCGGUGGCGAAGGCGGUGCUCUGGGCCAGAACUGACGCUGAAUAGCGAAAGCGUGGGUAGCGAACAGG